GGGCCAGAGAGGUACAGUAGUCACUGAUGGUAGGAUAGCCCUCUCAUGUUUUCAUAGUGACAGACGGGGCCAGAGAGGUACAGUAGUCACUGAUGGCAGGAUAGCCCUCUCAUGUUUUCAUAGUGACAGACGGGGCCAGAGAGGUACAGUAGUCACUGAUGACAGGAUAGCCCUCUCAUGUUUUCAUAGUGACAGACGGGGCCAGAGAGGUACAGUAGUCACUGAUGACAGGAUAGCCCUCUCAUGUUUUCAUAGUGACAGACGGGGCCAGAGAGGUACAGUAGUCACUGAUGGCAGGAUAGCCCUCUCAUGUUUUCAUAGUGACAGACGGGGCCAGAGAGGUACAGUAGUCACUGAUGGCAGGAUAGCCCUCUCAUGUUUUCAUAGUGACAGACGGGGCCAGAGAGGUACAGUAGUCACUGAUGGCAGUAUAGCCCUCUCAUGUUUUCAUAGUGACAGACGGGGAUGGACGUCUCAGUCAUCGGGGUUGGUGAAGUCAACAUGAGAUUGUUAUUGUGAUAUGUAUAUCUCUGCGUGCUCUGGGGGAUUCUGAGCAUGUCAACACAAUGCUUGCAUGACUCUGGGUGUGUGUGAUAUAUUUUCAAUACCCUAACAGCAUCCAGUUGCCUUGUUUGUGAGACUGCAACUUGGCUGCCAUGUGCGGAAGUCAUCCGGCCCCAUUUGAUUUCAAUAGGUAUUGCUAUUGCUUGCCUUUCAUCACGUUCUUCCUUUUGCUAUGGGCGACGAUGUUUUUUCGUUGACAUUCGAGCCCGGCUCGUCUGUUUCUGUACGCGUGCGUGGGAUGUGCACGUUUGCUCAUGUCCUUGUGCAAUCAUUUCCAUCGUCCCAUUUGUUGUCCUUUAUAAACUCUCAUGAUCUCAUCAACUCCAGCCUGAUGGAUAUACAGUAGA